UACGAAGGGGGCUAGCGUUGUUCGGAAUUACUGGGCGUAAAGCGCACGUAGGCGGAUAUUUAAGUCGGGGGUGAAAUCCCGGGGCUCAACCCCGGAACUGCCUUCGAUACUGGGUAUCUUGAGUUCGGAAGAGGUGAGUGGAAUUGCGAGUGUAGAGGUGAAAUUCGUAGAUAUUCGCAGGAACAUCAGUGGCGAAGGCGGCCUGCUGGGCUGUUGCUGACGCUGAGGCGCGACAGCGUGGGGAGCAAACAGG
rnacentral:rRNA from 1 species